ACCGUCCUGAGAAGCCUGACAAACAGGAGCGGGAUUACAGAGACCGAGUGAAGAUGAAGGACGAGCGUGUGAAAAGCGGACGGUUCAGCCUGACCCUUGAACGCCCCACAGAGAGAGACAGUGGCAGAUACAGCUGUGUGGCCUGGAGCCAGGGAAACAUCAUCGGAUGGAGAGUCGUGCUGCUCACAGUUACAGGGGGAGAUCAGCACAUCAGGAACAGAAGCAGCUCCAUUGAUCCGACUCCUCUGAUGGCUGAAGUUUGAUCUGUGAGCAGUGAGCAUGAGUGGGAGCCGUGGACGCUGCUGCAGGAAGG